rnacentral:RNase_P_RNA from 1 species
CCAGACGGUCGGAUGGCCGCUCUUCGUUGCGCGCGAGCGCGGCGCGGGGAGGAAAGUCCGGGCUCCACGGAAACACGGUGCCGGGUAACGCCCGGCGGGGGCGACCCCAGGGAAAGUGCCACAGAGAGCAGACCGCCGGUACGCCGCGAGGCCGACCGGCAAGGGUGAAAGGGUGCGGUAAGAGCGCACCGCGUUCCCGGCGACGGGGACGGCACGGCAAACCCCACCGGGAGCAAGACCAAAUAGGGGCGGCGCUCAAAUCCGUUUCCGGAUCGCCGCCCGGGUAGGUCGCGCGAGGCGCCUGGCGACAGGCGUCCCAGAUGAAUGGCCGUCACCCGCCUCGGCGGGGACAGAACCCGGCUUACAGGCCGUCUGGCACC